rnacentral:rRNA from 1 species
UACGUAGGGUGCAAGCGUUGUCCGGAAUCAUUGGGCGUAAAGCGCGCGUAGGUGGCUUCGUAAGUCCGUUGUGAAAGUCAAAGGCUCAACCUUUGAAUGCCGAUGGAUACUGCGAAGCUAGAGUACGGAAGAGGCGAGUGGAAUUCCUGGUGUAGCGGUGGAAUGCGCAGAUAUCAGGAGGAACACCAAUAGCGAAGCAGCUCGCUGGGACGUUACUGACACUAAGGCGCGAAAGCGUGGGGAGCAAACAGG